rnacentral:lncRNA from 1 species
UAAUAAAAAAUAAAAAUGAAUAUGGAAAAGAACAAUUCGAUUAAAAGUUCCAUUUGUUUACACUCUUAAUUCGAUCCGUUGCUGUGCCAUCGGUGCCGCCGCCCUCCGCCUCAGCCGCCACUCGUCAGUUCUAGAAUCGCCCCAAAACACUUCUCCAGGUUCUUCUUUCCUCCCCCUUUCACGAUCUCUAGCCAAUUUUCUUUGAAACUUGAUGGAUUUGCAUAGAUCUAGGUUCAAAGAUCACGAUUUCUUUCUCCAAAAUCAUCUCUUUUGCUACUCCGACGGAUCUAAAAUUCAAGUAUGUUCUUCUUCCUUGCUUGAUCUUUCCCUUCACAAACUUUAAAGCUCCAAAACAACCUAGAUCAACCUCAAUUGGGAAUCUAAGAAAGAGUCCCUUUCUUCUUCUUUUUUUUUAAUUACUUGUCUGGCUUUGGUUUUGGUGCAAGUGGAGAUUGAAAAUGGAGAUAGCUCUGUGGUGAGGAUUGGUGUCUCAGUGCCCAGCGCAUAGGUUAGUGACUAGCUUCUUUUUUGGCUUUCUCUAUUUGCAAGUGUAGGUUGGCUAUGAUGGUUAAUAGUUGUGACAGAUUUGGUAGGGGAAUUUGCAAUGAAUCAAUUUUUUUUUUAGAAAUGUGUACGUCUUUCCCGGAUUCGUUGCUAUAUCUGAGCUUUGGAAAGGAUUGGAUGAAAAGAAUCUCUAAAGUGGCUUUAAGAAUGGGGAAAGAUUGAAUAAUAUUGUUAGGCUAAUUAAUGAUAGCAGUAGCCUGUUAAGGUGAGGUGAUAAUGAAGGCUAGAUCCUACCUUGUGUAUGAGCUGAGUUUUAUUGUUGAAAGUUGUUUGUGAUACUCUCUAUACUCUGGUGUUUGCUUUUAGUAUUACCUAAAGCUGUUGAUGACUAAUGGUAAUUAUGGGUUAUUGGUAGCAGAUGGUGGAGACUAUGUCAGCUCUCCCAUUUGAUUGUGGAAAUUGUUGUUCAAGUAGAAAAGGAAUAUCAAUUAAACUAGAGUUUAAGAUUAAAACAAAGUCUUGGUUCAAAAGGAUUUAUUUUGUAUUCGAAAAUUUUAUCCCGAGAUUGAAUUUAAAACUUUAUCUGCAAGAAGUAACUCCAUGAAAUUUUUUUUUUUUUGAAUUAUUUUAUUUUAUUUUUAAAUAAGUGAAAAAUAAAUAAAUAAAAACCAAAUUAAUAAUAGGUUUAUAACGCUGAUCAAGGCCAUGGCUUAGUUACACAAUUACAGCCCAAAAGAAAUUUAAAAGCCUAAAUUUUGAAAAAUGAAUUUCAAAGCUAAGAAACUUCAAUAAAUGCGGAUAAAAUAGGAUGUUUAUACUAAUUAAAAUAUUUUUAGCAUAAUUUUUUCGUAUGUGGUGUUGUUUGUAUGAAAUUAAAAAAAAUUUUUUCAUUUAUUGUAAGAAAAGGGAAUGCAUCAGAAUUUCUCACCAAUGAUAAAUUAAAGACCUAAUAUAAAUUAUGGAUCCGAUUGGUAGAUAUCAAGUUUCAUUAUAUAAUUAAAGGAAAUUAUAUUUGUUUUAUUUCUCUCCAUGAAAAAUAGAAUAAUUAUAGUUUUAAAAAAGAAAAGAAUAUUUUUGAGCAAGUAACAUGGGAAUAAACUCAGUUAGGAAAGUUCAUAAACUCUGGCUAUAUAAGAUAAUAAAUAUAUAAAGAAGUUCCAUUUCUUUUUACCAAUUAAACAAUCAAAUUUAUGAAAUGAAUUUAAUUAAAAACAUUAAGCCUUCAAGGUCUUAAAUACCUAUAUACUUUCUUAAAGUAAGAUAGAGAUUAAAAAGUUAGUGUGAAAAAUUUGUCCAUAAACCAUAUUUUUUAUUUAGGAAUUUUUGUACUAUAAAUUUAUGAACUUUAAACCCCAACCAAAGGAUUUAACAUAAAAAUUUAUAAAUUUAAUAAAAAUGAAAAAUAAAAAGUGAAGAAACAAGUACUUAGUGAUUUAAAAAAAAAAAAUCGAUCAAACAAAACAGUUAAUGAAAUAAAUUGAAUAUUAAUGUAAUUAAAAUAUCCCCUGCAUUUCAGGGGGGUAAAAAAACUAGUUAAAAAUUACUCCUAAAUUAAUUUUGGGUCAACCAUUGGUGUUGAAGAUUUACAUUUUAUCAUAAAUAAGAGUAUCUUGGUCUGUAAAUUGUAACUGUUGUUUUAUGUGUCCUUGGUAGAAACUUGUAUCUUGCCUUUUCUUUUUCCUUUUGUAAUAUCUCCUAUUUAUUUUCAUUCAUACUAUUGGUUGGUUUUGUCACUGAUUUUGGCUACUCUCUAUAUUUAUAUUAGUUUUAGCGGUUUCAACAUAAUUUGGACUUUUAUUUGAUUAGGUUCAAGGCCAUUUCUUAAAUAUAAAAUUAUAUUCCAAUUAUAAUGACUUUAUUUUUACGAUAAUAUUAUAUUCUUUAAUCAUAUUUGUUUUUAUAAGUAUAUGUUUGUCAAAUUGUACGAUCACUCUCUCUACUUUAGUUAAAAUAUGAACUUAGUCCUUCGUAUAAUAAUUUUAAUCAUGGCGAGUCCCUUUACUUUUCGUGAUUUUCAAUGUCCCUCCUAUCCUUAACACUGUUCAAAUUCUACUGGUAAAGUGGAUGACGUGGUAUUAAAUUGCUUAUGUGGCAUUUCUUAUAUUUGAUACAUGGCCUAGUUUUAACUGACGUGGAAUAAAAAUUCCACCUAGCCACCACCCUUAAACCCAUCUAAAUAAUAAUAAGAUAUAUUAUUUGGAAAAAAAUAAAAUAAAAUUUGGGAUGAAAAGAAGGUCAAAUUGUACCAAAAAAAAAAAAUGGUUGGGGUUUACCAAAUCCUCUUUGAUUUUAUUUUAUUUUUUUGUACAAGGAAAAAUAGGGUCGAGGGAAAUUGACUUGAAUUGGCUUAGGGUUUCAAUUUUACACCAAGAAAAGGGUAAGAAUCCAAAAUAAAAGAAAUUGCUAAACCCAAAUUGUGGCAAUGAUUUCAAGACCAAAAUUGACCGAGUUCUAGGAAACUAGUUUCGCAAAAAGGGUCUGAUGGGCUAUGAUUAAGAUUUCAAUGGACUAUUAUUUCUUUCUUAUCGAAUGAUUUCAAGUUUCUUCUCUUAUUUGUAAAAGAGUAUGCAACACAAAAACACUAGUGAUGAACAUAAAGUAAUUGAAAGCUCAAGUUCAUAUAUUAAGUGUUGUUUCAGGAACAAUAAAAAAUUCUUUGGAUGAGAUAAUGCAUCCAUAUUUCUAACUAACUAGUACCAAUUUUGGGCCUUUUAAUUUUUAUUAGUCUAGUCUUUUCUCCAAUUCUAACAGUUUCAGGUCCAAGUAGGACGAGUGCGCCUUGUUUUAUAUUUUUUUAUCCUUAAAUCAAAAAAUAUACAUUUCUGCAGCUAGUAGACUUGUAAGAGCUUUAUAUCAUUCAAUAUUAAAAAAAAAAAAAAAAAAAUCUAUUUGUAGUAAAUUGAGAAAUCUUUUAUUCAAAAAACCUUAAUUAUAAAAUAAAAAUUUUUACCAAAACUAAUCUUGAGCGUAUCAAUGUAUGGAUUUGAAGGGCAUGCAAACCAAUUAGAAAGAUUGAUUUACCAUAUUUUGAACUAGAAUAUUUCUCUAACUUCAAAAUCAAUAAAUAAUGAUUAUUAAAAAGAAAAAAAAUUAAAACAUAUAAUAUUCAUCAAAAUAAAAAAUUAAAAAAAUUUUAAAAAUAAUUUAAAUCUUAUUUCAAUUAGUUAAUUUCAAGUGACCACCUUUAAAGGAUCUGAUAGAUUUAAAAUAUUUCAAAUCUUAGCGUUAAUGAUCUAUUCCCAAUCACAUCUAUUGUAUAAAUUGCUUGAAGAGAACUCUUUAUUACCACAUUUAAAAAAAUAAUAAAAAAAUGAACCUAUAUCUUAUUAAUUUCUGAGGCCAAAUCGGUUACAAAAACUUACAUAGAUUGUUGGAAGUUAUAUUCCAGCAAUUAUGUGUUUUUUUUCAACCACCUUAAUCAUUUUCUGUUUCAUCCCAAUGUUCAUUUUUAGCAAUCACGAAUUUUCCACCCCUCUAUCCAUUUUCCUUGGAAGUUUAUCAUGCUAUGGGGUUUCCUUUUCUUCAUUCCAUUUCUCCAUUUUUUUUUUUUCUUUUAAUUUUCUCCUUUCUUUUAGCUCUUGCAUGACAUCAUUACCUUUUACCACCAAAGAUCCUUAAAAUUAUUGUUAAUCCUAUAAUGAAAAUUUACCCAAAUUUCAGUCUCACACGUAGAAUAAUAAAGAUUUAUUUGAAUGAAUAGUAAAAUUAUUUUUUGUGAGAUUACAAAUAAAAAUAGAGGUGAAAUUGAUAUUUGUAAUUGUGAAAUUAAAAUCAUCCAUGGAGAAUGUGUUUAGAUGUAAAAUAAUAGUGACAGUAAAAUAAAUUAUAAUAAAAAACAACUAUUAAAAGCAUUAGAUUAAAAAAUUUUAUAUAAUUAUAUAUUUAAAUUAUUUAACAUUUAUAAAAUUAAUAAAUAAUUUAAAAUUUAUUAAAUUACUUUAAUUUAAAUAAUAAUUAUAUUAAAAAUUAAAAUUAAUAAAAUAAUAAUACAUCAAAUAAUAUUUUUUCUUAUAUUAAAUUAACAAAAUUAUUUUAUAUUUUUAAUAAAAAUCAAAAUGAAAAAUAAAAAAAUUUAAUUAUAAAAAUAUAUUGUAUUUAUAUUACAGAGCAAUAAGUAAAAAAAAACAAAACAAAACAAAAAAUGACCAGGGAAAAAAAGUAAUGAGGAACUAACACAAGUUACAUUGUCUGUUUAAAUUCAAUUGGUUGCUUAGUAUCAGUGGACACAAAAACCCUUGGUAACUGCACCUCCCAUAGAGAUGCAGAUAAAGUUCAAAUUACAAUUUUACUUAGAAAGAUAGAACUAAAUUUACCACACAGAGUGCAAAUUUAUUAUUCCUAUACUUUUAAUUUAAUUAAAAACCCAAUAAAAUUAAUAAUAAAGGAAUAUUCAUGAUAAAAAUGUGCAUAUUGUAAAAAAAAAUUCCAAAUAAAAAUUAUUAGUUAAAGAAUAUUUCAUGAAAAUAUAUAAGCAGACAAAUUUCUUGUUAUAGACCUAUUCUUGUCUAGAUUCAUUGUUGUGUUUGGACCUAAUGUUUUACAUGUUAGGCUUGUUACUUUACUUGUUUGUAAGGCCUGUUUCUUAUGAAGGCCCUUAUUUAUGUUUCUUUAAUUGCUUUUUCACUAGUUGGCAACAGAGUAUCUCGGUUUAUUACUAUUAACUGAGCACAAAAUGGGAAAAAGGAGAAUUGUAG